CAACAACAUACAAUAUAUCCUAUAUAUAAUCAUACAAUAAGCAUAUAUAUAAGCUCGAGAAAAGAAUAAGAAUUCAGUUGCUGCAACGACAUCAUGGAGGAAGAAAAGAAACAGUCUCUUAAUAGAAAACGGAAGCGAGAUGAAAAUUUGAAGGCCCACGAGUUAGAGAGGAAGCUCUCAGAUCGCCUGAAGGAUAUCUUUGCACAUCGCUUCAGAUCUCCAGUGAUAUGGACAAAUAAAAGAAAGAGAUCUCGAAGAAGAAAGCCCUCGAUCAAAGGAAGAAAAAGAAGAAGGUCUAGGUCCAGAGGAAGGAAGAGGGCGAAAAAAAGAAUCACCAAGAAAGGACCUAGUAGAAAGAAGAGAAAUCGAUAAAUAACAUCGUUCAAACCGGAUCUCUUAUUGCAGUCGACCAUUUGCACUAUUUUUACAGAUAGUAUCCCAACG
rnacentral:lncRNA from 1 species